rnacentral:misc_RNA from 1 species
CAUACAUCAAAAAUUGUGUCAAAUGACAGGAAGCCAAGACAUCAGAAACAGGAAAUAUGUUAUAUAGUAACUACAUGUAGGUGAACAUCAUCACAUCACAACUUUCAAACAACAUUAUCAAUCUGAGACUGACUCUUUCUCUUCAUCUGAGAUCAUAUUACAAUAGAGAACAAAAAGAAUUCAAGCUUAUAGAAUAUCAUGGAUGAUAUAAACAAACAAUUCUCCGAUACUUCAUAUGCAACAUAGACACAAGUUUAUCCGUGGUUGAAUCGCCCCCUUCCAUCUUCAGAAAACAGUCUAUAAAAUUGUACAGCAUGAAUUGGUUUUCUUUGCCUGCUUGUAGAACAUCUGUGAAGCAGCACUGAGAUCUGAACUCUUCUCAACCAAACUGUCUAGCUUCUCACCACGUUCUAAGACACUGUCAAUUGUCUUAUGGAGAAUAAUUUUUGUUUCAUCCAACUCUCGUUGAAUUUUGAACAGCUUAUCGGCCUCAGCAGGAUCCUGAAAUUUGGCUAGAGCUUCAUUCAGAUAAGGCCAUGGUUGAGCAUUGUCGCAUUGAGCCGUCUUCCAUGACUCACCAAAAUUCUUCAGAUACUCAUCCAAAACCUGGUUGAGCAGUGAAAAUGCACUUCGAACUGGAUAGUGAUCAUCCAUGAAGCCCAAAGCACAUAAACCAUUUCGAUUGUAUGAAUGCACCUUGUAUUCUUCAUGCUGAACAGAUUGUCGUUGUCCAGGUGGGUUCCUUUUAGCAACAGUUCGACCCACAAAAACGAUAAAUUCCUUAACGCUGGAUCUCUGAAAAUACCCAAAAUGGUUAACAUCAGAAGCGUUUGCUAAGAUCACAGGAUCCGAACCUUCUGGAUUGCAUUUCAACACCAUCAAAGCUGUGAUCUUCAUCUCUGUUUUUCUCUCUAAACCUCUCAAACUUCUUCAAAAAA